CGGGCAGUCCGGCACAGACGGCAGUGGCGCGUCGCGUCCCGAGCACGCCGCACGCGUCUGCCAGCCGCACCGCGGGCUCACACACUCCGCAAACUAACACGAUCGAUAACACAAACCCGCGAUAAAAAACAAAUCCUCCAACUAAAAACUCAACGAAACCACCUCUAAACCGCUCAUCCCGAUUAUCAUGCUAAACAUUUUUAUGUAACUCAUUUUAGAUGGCAACAUCGAUAGCGCGUGGCGCACCGGCGUCAACAAUGUAGCCAUAGUGACGCGAUCGUGUUGACAGUUUGACAGAACAUGACACUAAAAUACCGUUGAUUUUUGAAUAAACAUGUUUUUAAAACGUUAUGUGUUGGUUGUUAUGUAUUGAUAAGAUGACGACAAUAAUUUUGGUGGUUUGAAUAGUUGAUAAAGUACUAUACGAAAAUGGGAAAUGGAAUGAACAAGGUGCUCCCCGGGUUGUACGUGGGCAAUUACCGGGAUUCUAAGGACACGGUGCAGCUAGAUAAGUACAAGAUCACACACAUACUGUCCAUACACGACGCCGCGAGAAGAUUGCAUUCGGACAAGCACUACCUCUGCAUCAUGGCGUCGGACUCGCCGGAGCAGAAUCUGACGCAGUACUUCAGUCUGUGCAACGAUUUCAUACACGCCGCGCGGCUGAGGGACGGAAACGUUCUCAUACAUUGUCUGGCAGGGAUGUCGCGCAGCGUCACAGUAGCGGUGGCGUACAUAAUGUCGGUGACGCCGCUAACGUGGCGCGAAGCCCUGAAGGUGGUGCGAGCCGGCCGAGCUGUUGCCAACCCUAACCUCGGCUUCCAGCGGCAGUUGCAGGAGUUUGAGACGUACAAACUAGUUGAGGAAAGAAGAAGACUAAAGGAACGUUACCCGUCCUUGGCAUUAGCCGACAGAGAUCUGUCAGAGUGCCGCGUCAUGCUGGACUCCUACCAGACCAUGCUGAACCAGCGCACCAUCUGCGAGGGAAAGUGCUCCAUGGGCAGACAAUGUCCCACUGGAGUAUGCAGAACAGGGUCGAAGCGACAGCCGCGACCGAGGAAGCCGUCAGUUGCCGCAGGGUCCGCGGAAGGCCCAGGGCUGAAGCGGUCCCCGUCUACUCUGUCCACCACGUCCACUGUCUCUGGGUACCGACCUCGGUCGUCGCCAGCUGGACUUUAUAGUUACACCGGAGCUCCGUCUCGUCCGACACGUUCCACGUCAGGGUUGAGCGUGACGCGCGUGACGGACCCGGUGGGCGGCGGGACGGCCAUGGCGGUCGGAGGGACGGAGUACUCCCGCCGGAGGGCUGCCUCCGCUCCUGCUACUCCUGCACUCUCACCAGCCUCCUCGCCGCCCGGAUCGCCACAUCGAGCGCCGCACAGGCGCGGGUGUGCGUGGGUGAUACCCUCGGUGCAGUGGGACCCUGAUACCAUGUGACGUCACCACGCCGUCUCAAGAGGUCUUAAUCACUCUCACCGCACCCUCACCCUCCAGAAGAUCGCGCGCCCUGCAGCGGUGUUCGUAGCAAAGAUCCGUGCGACGUGCAGCAUCAGGCCAGGCUCGAGCGCACAAACCAAGUGUCACUCCCGCGUCCUCUAGCUCGUAACGUGCACUCUCGCGGGCCAGUCUCAUUACUCGCUCAUUUAAUCUCCAGGACUGAUCUCACAGAUUAAACUGGGAUUUCGUCCAAGAUUGGCUGGCCAAUCAACUCCCGUAUACAAGCCCUCUACUCACUAUCCAUCACGUAGAACGCGACAUGUCCAAUUGCUUUAACUGUGCUAAGUAAUAAUGGACGUCGCUGACCCCAAAAAGGAAGAAAACAUCGUAAAACAGAAAUUACUUCGGAUAGAAAAACGAGCUUUCGUCCCACAAUACUCCCUAAUGGCCUGUCGUGUAGUGUACUAACGUUUAGUACGAUGUAUCAUGCAACAGGGCAGCAGGGGAUGAAUAAUGCAUGGAGGGCUUCAACAACAAACUAGGAACCGACGGACAACGCUCCGAAUUUUAAAUAGCGAGUACUGAAACUGGCCCUUUUGCUUCUGUGGCUUGAGAAUGCCAAAUGAAGCUUGUAAAUGUAAUAAGCAAUAUAGUAAAGGAUAGGCGUUGGAUGGAUAAAUUAUAUGAUAGUUGGAGGUUUGACGAAGCAAGGUAAUUUUUAAGGAUAGAGGUUUGAUAGCAUACAAAGUUGUAGGGUUGGACAAGUUGGAUCAAUUCUAAAUUGUCGUUUGCCUUCGCGGUAGCGUCGUGAUAUAAAUUACUUCAACGAAACUAAGGACUUAGGUAUGUUAUAAGAUUCGGGUGGCGAGCCGCUAUUGUAGCGGUCCUCACAUCCAACGUGUGAACCAAGUUCAUGAUAAAGUUGGACGUUGAAACAUUGCGAAUUCGAAAGUAAACGUUUGUAGCACAAGUUUCUAGGAGCGUGGAAAUGCGACUAUUUGUUAAAUGCUCGCUCUGUGUUCUGUGCGAAUACACGCUAAAUGAAAUAAAUAUUUCAAACGGAGCUGAGCUGAACCAAGCUGCUUACGUACCUAUAUAUUUGAGGAUUCUGUCGCUUCGCAUUGCUGUGCUCGGCUUUAAUAAGUCGAAGGAUUAUGUCCAAAGGCAACGGUAUAAUUUAAGUGUUUCAUUCUAAAUGUUACCGCGAAAUGUCUUAUUAGUUCAAUUAUUUAUACGAUAAUGAAGAAGUGAGUACAACGUGCUAAUGUUACGAACAUAUAUAAUGGAUACUGUAGCGUACGCGUGGUGGACAUGCUCUUAGUUGGAAUAAGAUAAGUUCUGGCUGGUUCAGAUUUCUAUUUCUAAGAUUUCUACCUUCGAUAAAUACUUAGCUCGUAUUUUUUAUCUAUUGUAGUUAGAACUGUAGCUAAAACUUAUUUUAAAGAUGCAUUUAAAAUCUAUUUACUAGCGAAAACUUGAGAGACCUUACGUAAAGUACCUAAUACAUAUUUUAUUUAAGAUUAUGGAAAAAGAUCUUUAUUAUAAAAUGAAAACCUGAAUUCUAUUUUACCGUAGUUACAUUUUGAAUACUUAAUUAUAUUGAGAGAUAUCCCAAAUAGAUUUCUAAUCAUGUUAAAGUACCUAAUUAUAUUUUAACGUAUAAUUUAGUCCUAAGUCGUCACUGUAAGAUAUUCCACUUCGUUUUAAUUGACGACAAUUAUAAAGUUCAAUUAAGUACCUAUCGAAAACAAAUUUUAAUUACCUACCUCUUAAUAUAUCCCUAGUCACGCGUUUAACACAUCUUCCCAAAAUAUUUUAGACUAUUAACGCGUCUUCGUUCUAUCUGUGUAAACUACUAAUUUGAUUACGAAUCCUUCGCUUCAACUUAAAGUGAUGUGGAGUAAAACAUGUCUACAAAUAAAGAUAUGUAAUUGCUCAAAUGGGUAACCGAAUCCGUUCCUAGCACAGCACAAUUUACGUUAGAGCUCAGCACGAGUUGAUCAGACGCUCAGUAAGACAUUCUCUACACAGUAGGACACUUUAGGGACAAACUAUGUUGUGAAUUUUUGCAUAUCUCUCUUUCUCUUUUUUAUGAGGCUUAGCCUGACUUAGAGGAUUGUGAUUUACUUAGAUGCCUUUAGCACGGUGGCAUACGUAGACAAUUAAUAUAAUAAUACAUUUGUUUUAUGAUUAUCUUAUGAAAUGCUGCCACUGUAGCUUUGUUAUAACUCGUUUAUAAGUCUGUAAAUAUUUGUGUAAUGUAAGGCAAUGUUUCAUUGGAAAUUAUUUUGUGGAUAAGAUCGAGGAAAUUGCUUUUUUGAUCAGAAAUGUAACGAAGACGUAGUAAGAAUGAUUUGUGAGAGACGAGAUUGCGAGCUCGUUUCAGAUCGAUGUCCUAUUGUAUCAGUGAGGGCAUUUGUUUUGGAAAAUGAAGGAAUAUGAACUUGACAGACCGUGUUAUCAGUACAAAUGAAAUAUUUUAUUAGUGUUAUGUUAUAUGCGCUUCAUCUAUCUGCUAUCUACAAAGAGAUAUUUAUAUUGUUCUUUCACAUUCCUAGUGUAAUGAAGCAAUGCUCCUCCAUUCAAGUUACAAUCACUUAACAGCUGUAACUAGACCAAGUUAAUUGUUCGCAACGUGAUUAAUCCGCUCCAACAGAACAAUUAAUUCGUUGAAAGCAAUUUAAAAGCUUUUACGUUAAUUGAAUGUGUAAUCCCGUCGUUAAACACAUGUUUCUUUCCAUUCUAUUAAAUCUGUCUCGCUAAUUGACUUAUUACCGUACGUACUCUUUAUUUUGUGUAGGUCUUCUGGUUCAGAAUAGCCAUUUCGGCGAAUUCACCCUACGUUUGAAUCUGUCUCCAAAUGUCAAGUAAGUUUCUAUAUAUAGCAGAUCUCAAUAAAUCUGUUGGAAAUGCUAGAUGUAGAACUUCUCUUUUGCAAUAAUAUUUGUUUUUAAUUGAAUUAUUAUGACGCAGCUCAUUUCGAAAUUUAAAAGCGCUGCGUCAUUCGCAAGUCUUAGAGACUGCGGUAAAUCAUGAAAAUCUUGCUGUCGCAUGGAAUUUUGCUUCAACUACGAAUCUUUGCCUAAAUUUUACUAGAUCACUUAGUGCUGUACCUACUCAUCUACCUGCGUAAGUGAUUAUCUGUUUGAUUCUAUUCCUUAUCCUUAUUUUUAGUUUAAUUAAAAAAUAAAUGCCUUAAAACUAUGGGCUUAUUUAUUUAGUUAACAAACUGUUUA